AUUGAACGCUGGCGGCAUGCCUUACACAUGCAAGUCGAACGGUAACAGGUCUUCGGAUGCUGACGAGUGGCGAACGGGUGAGUAAUACAUCGGAACGUGCCCAGACGUGGGGGAUAACGAGGCGAAAGCUUUGCUAAUACCGCAUACGAUCUAAGGAUGAAAGCAGGGGACCGCAAGGCCUUGUGCGUUUGGAGCGGCCGAUGGCGGAUUAGGUAGUUGGUGGGAUAAAAGCUUACCAAGCCGACGAUCUGUAGCUGGUCUGAGAGGACGACCAGCCACACUGGGACUGAGACACGGCCCAGACUCCUACGGGAGGCAGCAGUGGGGAAUUUUGGACAAUGGGCGAAAGCCUGAUCCAGCAAUGCCGCGUGCAGGAUGAAGGCCUUCGGGUUGUAAACUGCUUUUGUACGGAACGAAAAGGCUCUGGCUAAUACCUGGGGCACAUGACGGUACCGGAAGAAUAAGCACCGGCUAACUACGUG
rnacentral:rRNA from 1 species